ACGGGUGAGUAACACGUGGAUAACCUACCUAUAAGACUGGGAUAACUUCGGGAAACCGGAGCUAAUACCGGAUAAUAUAUUGAACCGCAUGGUUCAAUAGUGAAAGACGGUUUUGCUGUCACUUAUAGAUGGAUCCGCGCCGCAUUAGCUAGUUGGUAAGGUAACGGCUUACCAAGGCAACGAUGCGUAGCCGACCUGAGAGGGUGAUCGGCCACACUGGAACUGAGACACGGUCCAGACUCCUACGGGAGGCAGCAGUAGGGAAUCUUCCGCAAUGGGCGAAAGCCUGACGGAGCAACGCCGCGUGAGUGAUGAAGGUCUUCGGAUCGUAAAACUCUGUUAUUAGGGAAGAACAAAUGUGUAAGUAACUAUGCACGUCUUGACGGUACCUAAUCAGAAAGCCACGGCUAACUACGUGCCAGCAGCCGCGGUAAUACGUAGGUGGCAAGCGUUAUCCGGAAUUAUUGGGCGUAAAGCGCGCGUAGGCGGUUUUUUAAGUCUGAUGUGAAAGCCCACGGCUCAACCGUGGAGGGUCAUUGGAAACUGGAAAACUUGAGUGCAGAAGAGGAAAGUGGAAUUCC
rnacentral:rRNA from 1 species